rnacentral:lncRNA from 1 species
GAGUAGUUAAAAGAUAGAACAGUCUAGCCAAGUGUCAUGUCUCUUAUUCUUGAUCAGCUAUAGCUCUGGAGUUUUCGUAGAUUUUCAAAAAAAACUCAGAGAUUCCUUUGUAUGACUCUCUCAUAUCUCUCUUUUGUGGUAUUUCUGGAUCCUUACCAAGGCAGUGAUGGUAUAUGCCUUUUCUCAAGAUAUGUGGUAUUUGUGGUAUAAGGCAUAGUGACAUUGCCUUCUCUCUCACCCUACUCUAAUAAGGCUUUAAUAUCUGGAGCUCAUAGGUGGGAGAUAAAAUAUACAUACUUACAAGACAUUUAUUGUAUAGUCAAACCAUGGAUCCAAAGAAACAAAUCAUUAAGCCAAAUCAAGAUGUGCAUGUGUGGCGAAUGAAUAGUGUAUGGUGAUGAUGGUGAUAACAAUGGUGAAAGUCUAAUUCUACUUUUGCUCUUUUGAGGGGAUACAUACCUUCCUUGCUUUUUGAAACUUUAUGAGGAGAAUGAGAUGCUCUUCAUUUUCUUUUCUCUCAGAUGGGUAUCCUGUACCCCUAAUUCUACUGUCGGACACUUGUCCAUUUUUACCUCUCGUCUCACUCUUUUUCUUUUCUUUCGAGGUUCCGGGCACUUGCCCCUUUUUAUUUCCUCAUUUAUUUAUUUAUUUUUCUUCUUUUUCAGAGCACUCAUCUCUUGAGAUAAUAUAGCAAGUGGUAGUAGCAAGAUAACUUGAGCAUUUAUUUCACAAGGGAAAAACACAGGUGUUUUUGGCUAUUCUCUCCCGAAUUAGGAGUAGAAUAUUUUUAGGUGAUUCUGGAGAUGGAAAUGGAUGGAUAUAUGUGGAUGGUACUUCCAGAGUAGAAGUAGCAUAUAUAUGAGUGAACGUGCAAGUGAAUCUUGAUUUAACCAUAUGACAAGCUCCUAAGGGUCUACACAGCUUGACCACACUCAAUGCUCAUAAGCAGUAAAUAAUAUAUGUGUGGCUCAAAGUCUAGCAAGCAUGUAUAUAUGGCUGUGGUAGGAAUUUAAACUUUCAUCAUACAGGAACUCAUCAUGAAACAUUUUAAAGAUUUUUCAAAGAUAAAAUUCUCCAGAAUUCUAGCAUCUCUAGGAAUAGAUAAACAGCAGCUCAACCUUCCCAUAUCAUAUCCGUUAACAACUUAGAUUUCAGAUCAAGUUUUCAUCCCACAAGUUUAGAUCUAGAGCAAGCUUUAAAUUAUAACAGUUAUGUCUAAACUUGAGAGAGAACUUUAAAUUUGCAAAUUAGGCAGAGCAACUAUUCAUCAUAUCCAUGCUAGAGUUUUAUUAUUAAGAUUCAUAGCAAACUUUAUUUAUUUAUUUAUUUAUUUAUUUAGCAAACUAAGAAAAGUAUAUAUAUAUAUAAGCAUAAAAUCUUUAUUUGGUUUUUCAUAGUUUAUGUAUUUUAAUAUUCUAAUAUAAUAUAAGUAUAAAGAUAGGUAGAAAUACUUAGCGUGAUAAAUGGGGGUGCUCUCCCCCAAGCUGAAUUUUGACGUAAUUUCUCUUGAUGUAGCUAGCAGGUGGCAGAGGUAUAUUUGAAAGUCAGCAGCAUUCUGACAGCGAUUAGAAUGUCCUCCGUCUGCUAGUCUUCUUGAUUCUUAAAUUCUGUGGAGCUCAAAUAGACAACAAAGCUUGUGGAACUAAUUAAUUGUUAGCAUAAAUAUCUAGCCUUCAUCACGUUGAGCUUCCUCAAUAAAUGUUACUCCCUGUUUUUAUAUUUUUAUUUUAUAAAGUAGAAAAGAAAUAUUUAUUUUAUUUUUAUGCCACCACAGUGAAGGUACUUAUGGGUUUUAUGCCACUCGUAUACUCACAUGGGGCUUAGUAUUUUUUUUAACAUUUUUAUUUUCUUUUCAAGAUAGCGUGAUUAACUAAUAAUCUAUUUAAGGCAAGUAAAUAAUUAAAGGGAAAAGGGAAUGCAGAAAGGAUAAAUAUGGAUAACUACCGAUUUUACCUUUCGGCGAGGGUUCAAUGUUUUAAGUCUUCUGAACAAGACUUCUCACCGUGUUCAUUCUUCAGGUGCAUCAUUUGAUUCAGGUAUGGAUCUUCACGUCUGCACCUUUUAAUACGGUGUCACCCAUGUUCUUCGUUUGCCCAGCAGUUCGAAGUGCGGUGUUAGCAGUAUCUUGCUCAGUGUGUUUGUGCUCGUAGUGUACCUGCUCAUAGAGACAAGGCAGAGAUCAAGUGCAUGGGCCCUGUUGGUGGAAAACACCAAGAGAACCAAAAGUGUAUUUGUUCUUCUCUAACCUUAAGCAUAGUGAGCAAGACAAGUUGAUGGAUGAUAAGUUCAUGAGUGUAGCACUUAUAACAUUUGUCAGAUCAGAUCGCUCAACCUUAUGGAAAGAUAAUCUAUCUAUGUAUUUUUCUUUAUAUCUCUCAAUGAUUGAGUGUGUAACAUUUUAGCUCAUAUGAUUAGGAGUGUGGGAUCAUGGAGGUAGUACUAAGAACAAGGAUUAAAGGACUAAACAUGCUGAAUCAGUUGGGUUGGUUAAUCUAGAGUUGUAAAUCAUACAUGUUUGUCUCUUUUAUUUAUAUGAACGCCAGAACCAAGGAGAAGCUUAUAAAAGUGAUAGACAAGUAACUUAAGAUGUUACCUUGCUUGAAGAGUGAUGGUACAGUAUCACCUUGUGGAAGCUUUCCUUUCUUAGCGGUUGUGCAUCGUGUUUGUGGCACCCUCCAUAGAUCAUCUCUCUAUGAUGAAUGAGCUAUGUCCUUCUUGUGCAAAUUGUUAAACUUCAUGUGUCACUCUCUUCGUCUCUGAUGUGAGUUUAUCUCAAGACUUCCCAAAUCGAUAUUGAAAGUUUUUCUGCAGGGGUUAGUCCGACAAAAAUAUACCAAUGUCUACACAAGCAGUUUUUAGUUCAAUAACCGAACUAGACUCCAUGUCUAAUCAGAUUAAGGAAGGCUGCUUAACCUAAGCACCAUGCUUAAUUUAAAAGCCAAUGGAAGUAUGGCGAGUACUUCCAAACCAACACUUGCUAGUAAAUAGACAAAGGUAGCAUGACAACAUUUAUAGAGAUCUACUCAAGUGGAGAUGAAGUAGCGUGAUUAGUAUUUAACAAAUUAAGCAUGUCUCAAAGGUAGGGACAACCAGCAUAGCAACAUGGCAAAGGAUGUUUUUAUGUAAAGUACUCCCCCAAGCUUGAAUUUUACAAAAUUCAAGUUUGGAUGAAUUUAAUUCAAUGUUGUAUGAUGAUUGGUUGGACAUACCUUGUGCUUGUCAUUCAUCCGAUCUUCUUGCUCCAAUCUUAGAAAGGUUAGUGACAAGAAUACCCGAAGGAAUAUUUUUUUUUACCUUAUAUGCUCAAUACACAAGGUAAUGUUGCAAAUAAUUAAAGGCUCAUGUUACGAUCUGAUCAAUGCUUAUUUUAAGACACUAAGCUUGUCCUUAGGAAACGAUCAGUUUAUGUUGGCGAAGUGGUUUCCCUUCCGACGCCAACCUAUAUCUAGAUCAACUCAACGAGAUCUGCAAUAUUUAUUAUAGACAUAUGCAUCGACAACCGCCCUUUUAAAGUUUUUAUAAAUAGAAAGGAAGAGGGAGUUGGAGAUCUCAAGUGUGGUGAUGUCGGAGAGACCAAUAGAUUGGGAAGAUGUUGCAUAUGAGCAUGGAGUAAACGAAGUGGCUAUGAAAUAAAUUCCAUGCUCAUUAAUGUUAUCUUCGUCUCUAAUCUGAAUGUUCGGAGUUUCUCCUGGAUUGGUCUCACCUAUGUCCUCUUCUGUAGUUGGAUGAAUCUCAUCUUCAAAGGGAGUCAAGAACUCACCAUUUGAAAUUGAGCCAAAGUCAGAACCCAUUAAGGCUUCUUCCUUAUCCAUCCAUUCUACACAUUCUAGCCAUUUAGAACUUGUGAUCAAAAUAGGGGAGGUGUUAGAAUUUUCUAUAUGGCUUAGCUCUCCUUCUAUGGCAUUAC